AUAUCGUAUUCAGGCGCCUUUAAUUCCGUUUGAAAAAUUGGAAGAACGAGUUGCAGCGGCUACAGGUGUGAGGACGUGACAUGAUACUUUGAAUCUUAGGCAAUAUACCAAGAAGAAUUUCGCGCACCUGCAGCGAUUUUAGACGAAAUAAUGAGAUGAUUUAUGACAUGUCAUUGUUUUCCCAACCUAUCAAGAGUUGGCUGAAAGAAAUUGCUUUUUGGCAUAUAGCCUUUGGAAGGAGACCCGUGCCCCAGCAGUGGGGACGUGAUGGGUCGAGGUGAAGAUGAAUUAGCCUAUGCACACUCUCUGAAUUUCUUUUAAUUGUUUGCUCUUGUUUCUUGUUACUUUAGAAAAUGUAAAAUAAAGUGUUCAAAAAUAAUACUUAA